UCUCUCGACUUGCUCUCUCUUUCUAUUCCCGGUUCCAUUUUCUGCGUCAACAGUGAACAGUCCAGUACUAGAUGUCGACGAGGAUUGGAUGAUACGCAGUAAAGUGACGCGUCGUAGGAAAUUUCAGUAAUUCGCGAAUGUCUUUGCUUUCGCACCGCUUUGUCUGUUGAACGCAGCCAAUGCGCUCGUUACACAACGUCGUAGAUGAUAACGUGCGCGCGUCGAGGACAGGUUCGAGAUGCUUCAGCAGUCUCAUGGCGGCGUAGUAUAGCUCGGUACGCAGUAAAGUGACGCGUCGUCGGAAAUUUCAGUAAUUCGCGAGUGAGUUUUGAAAAAUACGGUGUAAAUUCACAUUUUAAUUACUUAAUCCGAUAAAAAAACUUCGUAAUGGUGUUCGAGCUUGCUAUGCUUUGGGAUGUCCUUCCGAGGCUAAUAUGACGAUUCAAGUUUCCGAAAAAUCCUGACCAGAGAAGGACGGCAUGGUCACCAAAAAUUGGCGAUGAUAUAUUAAAAAAUACUGCAUCAGAAAAGUACACAGAAACUUCCUAAUGGUGUUGGAGUUUGCUAUGUUUUGGGAUGCUCUUCCGGGGUUAAUAUGCCCAGUCCUAAGUGUUCGAAAAAUCCUGAACAGAAAUUGACCAGAAAAAAAGGGUCACCAAAAAUUGACGA